UGCUUCACACAUGCAAGUCGAACGGGGUAGCAAUACCCAGUGGCGGACGGGUGAGUAACACGUGGGAAUCUACCAUUAGAUGGGGAAUAACAGGCCGAAAGGACUGCUAAUGCCGCAUAUGUAUGUACCUCGACAGGGGUGUAUAUGAAAGGAGUAAUCCGUCUGAUGAUGAGCCCGCGUCCGAUUAGCUAGUUGGUAGGGUAACGGCCUACCAAGGCGACGAUCGGUAGGUGGUCUGAGAGGAUGAUCACCCACAAUGGGACUGAGACACGGCCCAUACUCCUACGGGAGGCAGCAGUGGGGAAUUUUACGCAAUGGGGGAAACCCUGACGUAGCGACACCCGCGUGAGCGAAGAAGCCCUUUGGGGUGUAAAGCUCUGUCAACAGGAACGAAAAAAAUGACGGUACCUGUGGAGGAAGCAUCGGCUAACUACGUGCCAGCAGCCGCGGUAAGACGUAGGAUGCAAGCGUUGUCCGGAUUCAUUGGGCGUAAAGAGUUCGUAGGCGGUUUGUUAAGUCUGAUGUUAAAGACCGGGGCUCAACCUCGGAAAUGCAUUGGAUACUGGCAGACUGGAGUGCAGUAGAGGCUAGUGGAAUUCCCAGUGUAGCGGUGAAAUGCGUAGAUAUUGGGAAGAACACCGGUGGCGUAGGCGACUAGCUGGGCUGUAACUGACGCUGAGGAACGAAAGCCAGGGGAGCAAAUGGGAUUAGAUACCCCAGUAGUCCUGGCCGUAAACGAUGGAUACUAGGCGUAGUGGGUAUCGACCCCUGCUGUGCCGCAGCUAACGCGAUAAGUAUCCCGCCUGAGUAGUACGGCCGCAAGGUUGAAACUCAAAGGAAUUGACGGGGGCCCGCACAAGCGGUGGAACAUGUGGUUUAAUUCGAAGCAACUCGAAGAACCUUACCAGGGCUUGACAUCUGUGGAACCUUCCGGAAACGGAGGGGUGCUCGCAAGAGAGCCACAAGACAGGUGGUGCACGGCUGUCGUCAGCUCGUGUCGUGAGAUGUUGGGUUAAGUCCCGCAACGAGCGCAACCCCCGUUGUUAGUUGCCAUCAGGUAAAGCUGGGCACUCUAGCGAGACUGCCGGUGACAAACCGGAGGAAGGUGGGGACGACGUCAAGUCAUCAUGCCCUUCAUGCCCUGGGCUACACACGUGUUACAAUGGCUGGGACAAUGUGAUGCAAUACCGCGAGGUUGAGCGAAUCACCAAACCCAGUCUCAGUCCGGAUCGCAGGCUGCAACUCGCCUGCGUGAACUCGGAAUCGCUAGUAAACGCCCGAUCAGCACGCGGCGUCCAAUACGUUCCCCGGGCCUUNGUACCCACCGCCCCGUCACGUCAUGGGAGUUGGUCACGCCCCAAGUCGGUGGUGCCAACCCGAAAGGAANCCNCCGCCUAA
rnacentral:rRNA from 1 species